CCAAUUAAUUUAACUUGGGAGUCAGAACAUGGGUGAUAAGGUCCGUGUUCGAAAGGGAAACAGCCCAGACCACCAGCUAAGGUCCCAAAAUAUAUGUUAAGUGGAAAAGGAUGUGGCGUUGCCCAGACAACUAGGAUGUUGGCUUAGAAGCAGCCAUCAUUUAAAGAGUGCGUAAUAGCUCACUAGUCGAGUGACACUGCGCCGAAAAUGUACCGGGGCUAAACAUAUUACCGAAGCUGUGGAUUGUCCUUUGGACAAUGGUAGGAGAGCGUUCUAAGGGCGUUGAAGCAUGAUCGUAAGGACAUGUGGAGCGCUUAGAAGUGAGAAUGCCGGUGUGAGUAGCGAAAGACGGGUGAGAAUCCCGUCCACCGAUUGACUAAGGUUUCCAGAGGAAGGCUCGUCCGCUCUGGGUUAGUCGGGUCCUAAGCUGAGGCCGACAGGCGUAGGCGAUGGAUAACAGGUUGAUAUUCCUGUACCACCUAUAAUCGUUUUAAUCGAUGGGGGGACGCAGUAGGAUAGGCGAAGCGUGCGAUUGGAUUGCACGUCUAAGCAGUAAGGCUGAGUAUUAGGCAAAUCCGGUACUCGUUAAGGCUGAGCUGUGAUGGGGAGAAGACAUUGUGUCUUCGAGUCGUUGAUUUCACACUGCCGAGAAAAGCCUCUAGAUAGAAAAUAGGUGCCCGUACCGCAAACCGACACAGGUAGUCAAGAUGAGAAUUCUAAGGUGAGCGAGCGAACUCUCGUUAAGGAACUCGGCAAAAUGACCCCGUAACUUCGGGAGAAGGGGUGCUCUUUAGGGUUAACGCCCAGAAGAGCCGCAGUGAAUAGGCCCAAGCGACUGUUUAUCAAAAACACAGGUCUCUGCUAAACCGUAAGGUGAUGUAUAGGGGCUGACGCCUGCCCGGUGCUGGAAGGUUAAGAGGAGUGGUUAGCUUCUGCGAAGCUACGAAUCGAAGCCCCAGUAAACGGCGGCCGUAACUAUAACGGUCCUAAGGUAGCGAAAUUCCUUGUCGGGUAAGUUCCGACCCGCACGAAAGGCGUAACGAUUUGGGCACUGUCUCAACGAGAGACUCGGUGAAAUCAUAGUACCUGUGAAGAUGCAGGUUACCCGCGACA
rnacentral:rRNA from 1 species